CUGGGAAGUUCUUGAGUAACUGCAGAAUUGGCAGUUUCUCAAGAAGGGCUCAGCACCAUGAGUGAGUGAUUGAGUGACUGAAAUAUUACUUGGAUCUUUUAAGAAUUUAGAACAGUAUAUGAAGAUAAUAACUGAACAGUUUGGUAUUUGGUACAGUGAUUACAGUUAUAAAAUAUUUUUUAUGAAGUAUUUUAAGUUUCUUGCAUUUGCUGCAAACUGGGCAAUAUACUAAUACGUUUUCUGAUGAAUCAUAAUUGCUGUUGACUCUGAAAUUAGAACUAAUUAUCUAAAAGCAUUUAGGAGUCUACAGACCAGGAAUUUUCACACAUCAUUGUAUGUGUACUAUAGUGUGGUAUUUUGGGCAUAAUAUAACAAGGUGUAUGGUGCCUUGGAGAGAGAAUCUAGAAGUGUCACCUACUUCUGAGAGCUGUCUACACAUUUAUUAAGAGUGGAAAAUAGAUGCUUGAGGCAUCCAUACACGCUUCUUUAUUUUAAAUGAAAUAUAUCUAUAUAAAUGAAAAUAUAUUCUACCAAAAAUGUACAUGACUUAAAGAGGUAUAUUUGCCUUUAAAUUAUAUAAAAUUCUGUAUGUAAUGAUGAGUGGUUAACUGUGGUUUGUCCAGUGUUAAAAAUACAAUACAAGAGAAGUGUAUAUACACUUUGCUUCACCCUGAUAGCACAAAAAAUACAUUACAGUUUUUACUGGACUAACCAUGUCUGUUAUGAGAUAAGCCCAAAAAUAAAUAGGAAAGCUGUUACAUUCAUUGCACAGGGCUGUGAUGUGUAAAAGGAAAACGAUAAACACCUGCUUGUCCAAUAUCCAGCAUCCUUAAUUCUCAUCCAAUUGGCAAACAUUUAAAAGAAAGUUUUGCAUUUUUUUAAAGUUCUUCAAAAACAGGUUUGUAAUGGUCAUAUGUUCACCUGCCACAUGGAGGUUGCCCCAGGUGCCACUAGCUGUGCUGCCUAUCAUCGUCCUUCCUCAUUCAUGUGUCAUUAUAGUAAAGGCCAGUUAAAUCUGUGAUAACAUUGCAGUAUACAAAUUGAAAAUCUUUCACUCAUCAAGCAAUUACAUCACAUAGGUAAGACUCCCACACAAGAGCUAAACCAAAAACAUGAUCAUUUUGUGGGAACAUCCCACAUAUUAUCAUGCAUUUCUGCAACGCUCGCUAUUCAGCUCCCUUUUCACCAUCACGUGCGCUAAUCAAUCACAUUGCUUCAAACGUUCGCAUUUAUACAGCGCUUGCGGUUUUGGUAGAUCCACAAUUGGUAGAUUCAUUAAAUUGGUGCACCCCAUUUCCUAUAUAUGCUGGAUAAUGGGAAGUUUAAUGUAUAUUGUUUUUUAAACAAAUUUAAUUUUUCAUUAUGACUGAAUAAACUGUGGAUUAAUUUUAUGAUUAUUUUAUAGAAUAACUGUAACAGCAGUACACCGUGUUAAAAAAUUGAAGCAGAAAAUGACUUUAUAAGGGUUGUACCACUGGCAGUAAUAAUCUGAAACAACAGCCAAUUCUUAUUGCUGGGUGCACCGUACAUAAGUAGUUGCUGCUGCUUCAAAGGCGCAGGGACGUGGCUGGGCGUGCCACUGCAACCUGGUGUGGAUGUGGCCGCUGAUGUCGCUGUGUUACUUUGGAGCACCGCAGCGAAGGACGGACAUGGGGUGAUGAGGUGAUGGGAUUAGCUGUCUUUCCUUCCACCAACUGGCAGCUGCAGCAUGCCAGCUUUGAAGAUGUGUUCCCCUUUUCUGGACACUUCUUAUAUAGAUGGCCGCCCCUGCACCACAAGCAACGUGGAGGCUGUUUGCAGUUCGCCCAAAUGCGGCCGAACUUUGGCAGUUCUACCAGUGCAUUCUGAGCAUCCUGAACAUUAUUUGCCUCUACUCUGACUGCAAUGUGGUAAAGGCUCAGCAGUCUGAAAAUUUCUUGUGAUUUUGUCUUCUUAGGCAAAGUUGAGGCACAAGGGGAGGUUAACAUUACUUGUUCCCUCUGCAUUUGACCGACUGGUGGCUGUGAUCUGUUUAAAGCUAAUAAUGUCAAAACGCAGGAUCACCAGUCCGUCAGAUACUUUCUGAGCUCCAAAGAAACAUCUUUGGGUCACAUGGUCAGUUGGUGAAUAAAUUAUGUGCAACUAUUAUGGUAUAUUAUAUGCAAAUUGGUAAGUAUUGAAUUUGAUUUCAUGUCGUGAAUUGGGAGUCGAAGUUUAUGCUCGAAGUGACAUUUCCAUGUUGUACAGGGAGAUCGAAAAGUCACGCAUAUCAAACUAAAAGUUGUCAUAAAUUGUAUUGCAGUGAAUAUAAUUAUAUCUCCUACCGCUAGAUGGUACUGUUGGAGUACUAACGAGUAGAAACGCGACCUAUCGUGUAUGGGUCGUACGACGUCUGCAGUAUAGCUUUGUUUAUUGCGUGACAGACAUGUCGUUUUCCCAAGAACGAGUUUUCAUUGUGGAACAUUAUUUCGCCAGUCGUUCUUAUGAACGUGUCGCAGACGAGUUUCGUCAACAAUAUUCAGAUUCUGCAGCUCCUAACAAUUCGACGAUAACGAGAACUAUCAACCGAUUUCGGGAAUGUGGAUCAGUUUCAGAUAGGAAGAGAUCCGGGAGACCGGCCAUUUUGACUGAGGCUGAGCUGGCUGACGUGGAGAAAAUGUUGCAACGUUCCCCUUCAAAAAGCCUGAGGAGACUAUCAGUGCAAUCAGGGAUUUCGUACGGCCUUUUCUUACCGCAACGGCAGUUCCGCCCUUACUGCCCUAGUGGCGGUCGAUUCUACAAAAGUGAUGUGCAGGGGACGGUACAAUCUGCUUUCUUGCUGCGGGUGUCUUCUGAGUCUUCUCUAGCCGUUGAUUGGUAGCGGCUUCCAAACAGCAGA